UGCAAGAGGCUCAGAGGGGCGAAGCCGCGUGCUGAGGAGCGGUCCGAGAAGGCGCCAUGCAGGCAGCCUUUGGAAUUGGAUGAGCCUUUGAGGUGCCACGAGCGAUGACGGCCGCAGCGUCCGACGCUGGAAUUCCUGCAGAGCAGAUGAUGAAGAGGAACCUGGCAACUGCAGGAAUAUCCUGGUUCACUGAUGUGUUUUUUGCUGAGGAUGGAUUCAGACCCCUGCCGUCUGACAGCUAAGUUGAGGGACUGGAGACCACUGCCCUACAGUGUGUAAUUUUGACUUCAGUUGGAAAGAAAUUGUCCAAAGCGGAAAUCUUUCUCGUUCAAAGAAGUUGCAUUUUAUUGAACUUCCCAUCAGAGUGGCUCUUCAGAGGUGAUGUACUUGGCAGUAGAAGUCACCAGCAGCAAGACU